rnacentral:rRNA from 1 species
GCGAUCGGGUGGUCCGAGCUCGCUCCUCUCUCGGAAUUCUUUUUCGAGAGGGAGGCAGUCCGGAGUUUUUCUAAGUGCGUGUCUGCGUCCCCCAGUCGGCCGUUUGCGUUCCCUCUCGUGCAGGUGUCCCGUGCCGGUGUCUCGCCCCCUCCUCCCCCCUCCCUCGGGAAGGUGGAGUGUGCGGUCGAGCGCCGGCCCAGGCGUCACGCAUCAGACCUCUAAUCGGAAAAGACUACCCGCUGAGUUUAAGCAUAUCACUAAGCGGAGGAGAAGAAACUAACCAGGAUUUCCCUAGUAACGGCGAGCGAACCGGAAAGAGCCCAGCUUGAAAAUCGUGGUGCCUCGCACCUCGAGUUGUAGUCUGGAGAAGGUCCCUCUGCGGCGCGCCGGACCCAAGUUCCCUGGAAAGGGACGUCUUAGAGGGUGACAAUCCCGUCCGCGUCCGAACCGCGCCGCUCCACGAGGCCCUGUCUGCGAGUCGGGCUGUUUGGGAAUGCAGCCCUAAGCGGGAGAUAAAUUCCUUCCAAGGCUAAAUAUGGGCAAGAGACCGAUAGCGAACAAGUACCGCGAGGAAAGA